UCUCCCGAUCACCAGUGCAGGAAGGCUCAAAGUGGCUCAGUGAUGGCUCUGUUAUUUCAUGAGAUUCUGUGCAUGGACCUCCUCCAUAACAAGGCACCUCGCUCAGGGAACUAAUCUAGAAUCCGCUUGUAACAGAGAUGUACCAGACACCACCAAAGAAGGAAGACAUGACCUCACAGCUUGUAGCCUGACAGUCAAAGUCCAGCUGGAACAUAAAUGACCGCCAAGCUGCCUUCAGCUCCAAGUGAGCAUCAGUUCUCCGAGGCUCUGGGAAAACAUCUCUGCGGGACCCCUGCAGCAUCAGAGAACCUGUGAGUGUUGAGGUCACUUCCCACACCCUGCAGAGUUCUCCUGCCAUUUUGUGAAGCCUCCAAUGAUCAGAGUGGCUGAGUACCUGGAAUAAGCCCGAGAACAAGGCCUCUUGUGUCGAGCAGUAAGAGUUCAUUUCGAGGGGAGGUUAAUAAAUAAGGUGACAUCCCGACUGUGCCAAAUGUCACCAUUUAACUUUCAACUCUUUGGGUUUAGCAAAACCAAAUCACUCUCCCUUCCUGGACUUUCUCUAGCGUUCCUGUGACUGCUGAACUCGGUGUGUACUUUAAAUGAAAUAUAAUCCCCGCGCCUCUCCCACGUUCAUACUCGACACAGCCAACUGCUAGCUUGUUUGUGUCCAAGAAUACUUUUAAAAGAUUUGUGUAAAGCUUCUUUUAAAGGACUUUCUUCCUCCCAGGCCUCUAGACAGGAUGUUGUAUUUUACUAAGGGUACAUCAUUUUUGCCAUUUCCAAAAUUUGAGUGUAGCUCCAUGCCAGACAUCGAACAUAAAGAGGCUCCCGAACUUGCCAAAAUGUCUCCUAUUCCUUCUUAUUCAAAAGUACCCAUUUGUGAAUAUUAUCCCAAGCAAAUCUAUACCUGCUAUGGAGAUAAAUGUAUGUUUGUCAGCAUAUUAAAUUAUCACUAUGAUAUGGAUCA